ACACGGCACCCAGACACAGCACCCCCCAGACACACACUGCACCCAGACACAGCACCCCCAGACACACACUGCACCCAGACACACAUAGCACCCCCCAGACACACACAGCACCCAGACACAGCACCAGACACACACAGACCCAGACACACACAGCGCACCCAGACACACACAGCGCCACCCAGACAGACACAGCGCCCCCCAAACACACAGCACCCAGACACACACAGCACCCUCACUCACACACAGCAC